rnacentral:lncRNA from 1 species
GUUGACAGUUUUGGUCUUUUUGUUUUAUUCUUAGCAUCAUUAUAGGUUUUUUAGAAAGAGGUUAAUGGGAAUCACUUAGGAGCUACUACCUAGACAAUAUUUAAACCACUUCAACCUCCCCACUCGUAACCCUUGGAUUUCUUUUACAUGUGCUGUUGGCUACUUAAGGUUAAGGAAGUGCCUUUCUCCUCCUGCCAUGAUUCUGAGGCCGCUCCAGCCACGUGGAACUAGGAAAGAAAUCCAAGUAAAUCAAAAGGAACAGAAACUAGAAAUAUACAGGCAUACUUGUGGCUGGAGUUAUUCCACUACUUGUACAUUAUGUGGCUUACCUCAACAUGUGGAAAAAUACAGUGCAAUGGUGCAUGCCUGUAAUCCCAACACUUUGGGAGGCCGAGGCAGGAGGAUCACUUGAGCCCAGCGUUUGAGAUCAACAUAGCAAAAUCCCGUUUCUACAGAAAAAAAAAAAUUUGCUGCAUGUGGUGGUACACAUCUGUGUUCCCAGCUACUCAGGAGGCUGAAGUGGGAGGAUCACUUGAGGCUGGAGGCAGAAGUUGCAAUGAGCUGAGAUCUAGCCACUGCACUCCAGCCUGGGUGACAGAUUGAAACCCUGUCUCAAAAUAAACAACAAAGAAAACUUCGUCUCCUGCAGGAAGCUAUCAUAAUCCUGACUGCAAGCCACCUAUUUGAAACUUAUUUGAGUUAGAUCUUACGUUAUAUUUAUUUGACCUUUUUCAUCUGUCCAGUUUUCUUCUUGAGUUUAUUCAGUUACCUAAAGAAACUGAAAAUUACUUGUAGAUAGAAAUCACAUUUCAUAAUUUGCUUAUAAUUCCCCUCAGGCCUUCUGCAUUUUAUGCAUAUUGAACAUUACACAAUUUAAUGAAUGGAUCAUUGGAAAAUCUCUCAUUAUGUACACGAUUAUAGAUGCAAUACAUUUUCAUAAGUUAUAUAAUUGUUUUAUUUAUUUUUACAAUUAAGGCUGAAGAUUGAGGUCUAUAUGCACUAAUCUAUUCUUGAUGCAAUGGUUUAUUAAAAUGCCCUUUUAAAUUAUAGUAAGUUUUUGCAUUGAAAUUGGUUUGUCCUUGCUUAACAGAUUCGAUCAUUAAGAACAGUAAAGAGUUUCUCUCACUGAAAUCAUUAAUACAUUUACUUAUACAGAGAUAGAUAGAUAGGUGCUGGCAUAUACUUACAAGCUUAUGAAUAACACAGUUAGUUGCUUCACAUUGACUCAUUUCAGAAAUGUCACUGUAAGUCACAAAAUAUUUUGUGAAAUGAUUGUAGUAUACUUUCGGCUACAACACUGAGUCUGUUAUACCUGAGAAGAAAUUAGACUCUGUGGGGGGAAAAAGACAGAAAAAUUUCCAAAAUCAAAUUUUUAACACCAGGGUUGCUGUGAGCCUUACCCCAGGGGGUGCCGUUUGUGGCAUGGUCUGUGGAGUUAAACAGUGUAGGCUAUGUGGUUUUAUAUGGCAGCCCUGCAGAAACCAGAGAGUAUACAAAAAGGUAUCAUAAAAUUUUGAACUUUAGUGCCACUGCUCAGUUAAGUAGUCUUCAAACUCUUAUGGAUAUUUAGUCAAUCUGUUGUAAUCCAUGAUGUUAGAAUGUACAAUGGUCCUUACCAAUCAUUUUAUUUGGUAGAAAAGAAAAAUAAGAUAUAUCAAUGAGAAGUAAAUUAUAUAUUUAAAAUACAUAUACAUAACAUAGAAUUAAGAAAUAAAGCACAAAAUAUAUGACAAGCCUCUAAAUAUUAAGUACUUUUCAUAGUCUAAAUUUCUACUACUAUACCGUAACUAAGGGAGGAGGCCACCCCUCAUAUUGUCUUAUGCCCAAUUUCUGCCUCCAAAGAAAAAAAAAAGUGAAAACUAAAAGGCAGAAAUGACACCCACAGGAAGACAGCCCGGCGCCACACCCUGGGCCUAGUAGUUAAAGACUGACCCCUGACCUAAUCGGUUAUGUUAUCUAUAGAUUACAGACAUUGUAUGGAAAAGCACUGUGAAUAUCCCUGUCCUGUUCCGUUCUAAUUACCAGUGCAGGUGCAUGCAGCCCCCAGUCACAUACCCUCUGCUUGCUCAAUUGAUCACGACCCUCUCACACAGACCCCCUUAGAGUUGUAAGCCCUUAAAAGCGUCAGGAAUUGCUCACUCAGGGAACUCGGUUUUUGGAGACAUGAGUCUGCUGAUGCUCCUGACUGAAUAAAGCCCUUUCCUUCUACAAUUCGGUGUCUGAGGGAUUCUUGUCUGUCACUCGUCCUGCCAUAUAACCAUUAAAAUUGUGUCUUGCUUAUACGAGGAUUACAUCUCAAAAUAGGAAAAUAUUUUGUAGUGAUAUUUCAGUCUCCAAAUAAGACCAUCAUUUAUGGAAGUUAAAAUUAACUACUUCUGCUAAAUUAAUACAGGUUUGAGCUUUCAUAUUAACUAUAUGUUCUGGGUUUUUUUAUGUAACAGUAUCUUUUAGA